rnacentral:rRNA from 1 species
CUGGCUCAGGACGAACGCUGGCGGCGUGCCUAACACAUGCAAGUCGAACGGAACGCCAAGAGCUUGCUCUUGGCGUUUAGUGGCGGACGGGUGAGUAACACGUGAGUAACCUGCCUUCAGAGGGGAAUAAUGUCUGGAAACGGACACUAAUACCGCAUAAAAUAUUUUAACCGCAUGAUUGAAAUAUCAAAGGAGCAAUCCGCUGAAAGAUGGACUCGCGUCUGAUUAGCCAGUUGGCGGGUAACGGCCCACCAAAGCGACGAUCAGUAGCCGGACUGAGAGGUUGAACGGCCACAUUGGGACUGAGACACGGCCCAGACUCCUACGGGAGGCAGCAGUGGGGGAUAUUGCACAAUGGGCGCAAGCCUGAUGCAGCCAACGCCGCGUGCAGGAAGACGGUCUUCGGAUUGUAAACUGUUGUCCUCUGUGACGAUAAUGACGGUAGCAGAGGAGGAAGCCACGGCUAACUACGUGCCAGCCGCUGC